UGUACAAUGCGGGAUUCGAACCCAGGUCUUUGGUAUCGGAAACCGAAGGUUUUACCACUCGUCCAUCAAGUAC